rnacentral:rRNA from 1 species
GUGGGGAAUAUUGGGCAAUGGGGGCAACCCUGACCCAGCGACGCCGCGUGAGGGAAGAAGGCCUUAGGGUCGUAAACCUCUGUUGUGUGGGAAGAAGGAAGUGACGGUACCACACGAGGAAGUCCCGGCUAACUACGUGCCAGCAGCCGCGGUAAUACGUAGGGGACGAGCGUUGUCCGGAAUUACUGGGCGUAAAGGGCGCGUAGGCGGUCAUUUAAGUCAGCUGUGAAAUGGUCCGGCUCAACCGGGUCAUGCGGUUGAAACUGGAUGACUGGAGUGCUGGAGAGGAAAGUGGAAUUCCCAGUGUAGCGGUGAAAUGCGUAGAUAUUGGGAAGAACACCGGUGGCGAAGGCGACUUGCUGGCCAGCAACUGACGCUGAGGCGCGAAAGCCAGGGGAGCAAACGGGAUUAGAAACCCCGGUAGUCC